AUGCGGACCACGGAUGAGCCUCCAGCCCCCCCUACCCAAUCCAGGAGGUUUAGGCAACAGGCAUCGUGCUCUCUGAUAAUCCCUGUCUCGGUGUGCCGUGUCCCAUCCUGCAGGGAAAUUCAAAUCAUAACAGUCCCUGUGAUUUAUGAGCCCUUGUUGGAUUUUCUUAUCCAUUGCUCGACUUUGGCGUUUGACUUUGGCCAUGACAUUGUGACGACUCCGAGCCCUCAGGUACUCUGAUUCACUUUUCUUAGCCUGAAUCAAAAGGCCCUGGAGGUUUCCUGCCAUUUUUCUCUGGAGCGUUUUGUUUCAAAGAACAGGAAAGGGAGCUCUGUUUCCCACACACUCACAGAGGUUCGAUAUCAAUGACAUUUUAUAGACUGCGGCCCACAAUCGAGCAGCUGCACAGCCAUUGUGACAGUCUCUGUGUUGCAAUACACGUAACUAACAAUGCUGCAGCUUUUUAGACGGAAUAGAAGCUUUGCCACAAACUAUAUGCAAACCAAGUUAGCACAAUUUAGCAUUGAUUAUGAGGUCAGCCUUAUGUUGUUUAUACAAAAGAUAUUUUUAAGAUUAAUUUGCUCUUUCAUUUCAUUUUUCUCCUGAGUCCCCUUUUAUCAUCUCUGUGAUGUAUCAGAAACAUAUUCCAUCUUCUACCCACUCCCUUUCUGUGGGACUUCUUUCUAAACUUAAAAAAAAAAAAAUGUAAUCUGGCUAAAUGCAAUGACAAGGCAUGCAACAUUUUUUGUUAAAUCCAUAAACCAACAAUCUUAUCAACAUAACUGCGAGGGCGUUCCUACAUGUUGGUCAACAUAAACAAGCUCAACAAUGCCCUUUUUUUUUAGUUUCAUUUCCAGCAAGAGUCAAGUGUGUAAUGGCAAAUAAUGAUGUUUUGUGUUUGUUUGUGACUUUUUAUCCCUUUGAAAAGAUCAGGUUCUCAUGUUAAUCAGCCAAUUGAGAGAGAGUUUCCUGUUUUAAAUAGAUUCUAAUCGUGCUCUGCAAGAACAUCUGCUGCUGUGCGGAUUGAUGUGGAGCCAAUUGAAACUAAACUAAGAAGAAAGAAACACAGAUGCUUCAAAGGCCAACGGGUGAGAUCCCUGGCGACAUGAUUAUCAAUUCCCUGUAAUGCGACGGAUCAAAGACUGAGAUGUUGAGUUGCUGAUGUUUUUAAUUAUAGAUGUAAAUUAUUAUGUCUUGAACAGCUUUGAAAUACAAAAUGCCCAGUUCUUGUUAUGUCUUGUAUUUGUCAUGAAUUGACGUCUGAAUCUGUGUCUCCACACCUGAUCCAGUUGGAAACAACCAACUUCAGGGUUUCUUCUGCGAGGCAGGUCGGGCCUUCAGGCCUGCAGCAGGCCCGACUUCAUCAGCUCCACGUGGCUGUUAUUAUGACAGAAGGUGUUUGAGUUCCUUGUGUCCUGCUUUUGAGCGCCACGGACAACUUGAGCAUGAGAUUCAGGACUGAGAUUAUGCCAAACAUGCACACACAUGCAGGACUGGAACAAGUUGUAGCUGCUCUCAGACAUGCACUGAAGUCCCGACUACAUGCUAGAACCUGAAUGUCUGCUGGAAAUUUCCCUGCCACUGAUUGCAUGUUCUUUUAUGUCAACGGCAAACUCUGGAAUACAAUGAAAUGAACCAUUUAAUAUCCUGCAGAAAUUCAGCUUUGCAAGAUGAAUUAUGUUUGCUCUCUGCAUUCUACUUCAGCUAAAGUUAACUGUGAUAACUCAUGAUUUUGUUAUUUCCAGUCUGUGUGUUACGCUAACCUCUCUGUCUUCUAACUGUAGCUUCACUAUUUUAAAGACAUGAGAGUGGUAUCAAUUCUCCCCUGACUCUAACCACACCUUAACCUAACUGUAAGUAUCCACCUGAACUGCCAUUCUGUUUCAAUAUUAUUAUCAACUAUCGUUCGUAUCGCUAAUACCCCCAAAACUCUUUUUUGUUGAUUUUAACGUAUUUAAAAUCUGAUUGGUGCAAAUCACCAUUGCAAAAUGUGCCGCCAUAUUCAAACGAGUGCGAAGAGCACUGACCAAAAACAAGAGCAGAAGACAUCGAUCUCUCAUUCAAAAUAGAAAUUGCUCUAACUUUGACAAAAGUCGAUCAAAGUAAGACACUGAUUGAGGUAAAAAAUGUUUUAGGGCCUUUAAAUGUGUGUUAAAAAAAUAAAUAAAGUAAAAGUAAAUUCACAGGCAUAAUGCAGUGGUCAACACCGGACAGAUCGAUUGAGGUAUUCUUGUCUGACACUUUCAGAGCAAGGCUACGGUGUAUCCCACAAGAGGACUGACCCGGGGUGCUGCUCUCCAGAGGGUACAGGGAGAUUAGUGCGCCGCUCCUGGACCCCUGCCAGGGUUUAAUGGAGCAGUAGUAAAUUGACAGAGAUGCUUGUCGGCCAACAAAGGCCCAAAAAACACCCAGGCUUUACUUAAAAACUGGGACAGGCUGAUUUAAG
ensembl:lncRNA